CUCUAUCCUCUUCCAGAUAACCCUAGACCGCGUCAAUGUGGAAAGCAAACUCAGCGUGGCGAAGGGGUGAAGCCAGCAAGAACAAGAGCGGAGAGACUAGUAAGUCGGUAUCAACAAGAGGGCUCUCGAAGUGGUUUGAGCGGAAUUAGUGGCAAUUAGCCGGAAGAGAGAGAAGCGCCUUUCGGUAUCUCGCGGAGACACAGAGACGUGUGUAACGACGCGGAGAUACGGCGUCGUAAAGAGGAGGUGGUGGGUCGGGGUCGGGGGAUGGGGUAGGUUUAAUCGACGCGCAAAGGUACAAACUACGCGAAAGUACGUACGUGCGCGGAAUUCGUGAGAGGGGGGUGGGAGGGGGUGGUGGUGGUUCGAGGGUGGGUGUUCAAACCAUGUGCAUACGCAAACACGUGUAGCGUGGCCAUGAGCCGAGGACGAAAUUGGGCCGAGAGGAUCAUUGAAUUCGAACCUUCUCUCCCCCCGAUUCUCCGUAUUUUCUCCAAGCUACGACGAUUACCAUAAUACAUCGUAUUUCCUUCGGCGUGUGCAAAUUCUUUUAAGGGGGCCUGUUUCGCCUGCAGAUUGGCUUUCGUGUGAACUGGAAUUCACGUGGAGGAUGAGGGUCGAGAUGAAGU